AUUAAACGCUGGCGGCAUGCCUUACACAUGCAAGUCGAACGGCAGCACGGGGCAACCUGGUGGCGAGUGGCGAACGGGUGAGUAAAGCAUCGGAACGUGCCCUGGAGUGGGGGAUAACGUAGCGAAAGUUACGCUAAUACCGCAUAUUCUGUGAGCAGGAAAGCAGGGGAUCGCAAGACCUUGCGCUCUGGGAGCGGCCGAUGUCGGAUUAGCUAGUUGGUGGGGUAAAGGCCUACCAAGGCGACGAUCCGUAGCGGGUCUGAGAGGAUGAUCCGCCACACUGGGACUGAGACACGGCCCAGACUCCUACGGGAGGCAGCAGUGGGGAAUUUUGGACAAUGGGCGAAAGCCUGAUCCAGCCAUGCCGCGUGAGUGAAGAAGGCCUUCGGGUUGUAAAGCUCUUUCGGUGGGGAAGAAAUUGCAUGGGCUAAUACCCUGUGUAGAUGACGGUACCUGGAGAAGAAGCACCGGCUAACUACGUG
rnacentral:rRNA from 1 species